rnacentral:rRNA from 1 species
UACGGAGGGUGCGAGCGUUGUCCGGAAUCACUGGGCGUAAAGGGCGCGUAGGUGGCGCGGGCAGUCAACGGUGAAAAGUUCGGGGCUCAACCCUGAAUCGGCCGUCGAUACUCCCGGGCUUGAGCACUGUAGAGGCAGAUGGAAUUCCGGGUGUAGCGGUGGAAUGCGUAGAGAUCCGGAAGAACACCGGUGGCGAAGGCGGUCUGCUGGGCAGUAGCUGACACUGAGGCGCGACAGCGUGGGGAGCAAACAGG